ACUAAAUAGAUACCCUGGUAGUCCACGCCCUAAACGAUGUCUACUAGUUGUCGGGUCUUAAUUGACUUGGUAAACGCAGCUAAACGCGUGAAGUAGACCGCCUGGGGAGUACGGUCGCAAGAUUAAAACUCAAAGGAAUUGACGGGGACCCGCACAAGCGGUGGAUGAUGUGGAUUAAUUCGAUGCAACGCGAAAAACCUUACCUACCCUUGACAUGGAUGGAAUCCCUGAGAGAUUGGGGAGUGCUCGAAAGAGAACCAUUACACAGGUGCUGCAUGGCUGUCGUCAGCUCGUGUCGUGAGAUGUUGGGUUAAGUCCCGCAACGAGCGCAACCCUUGUCAUUAGUUGCUACGAAAGGGCACUCUAAUGAGACUGCCGGUGACAAACCGGAGGAAGGUGGGGAUGACGUCAAGUCCUCAUGGCCCUUAUGGGUAGGGCUUCACACGUCAUACAAUGGUACAUACAGAGGGCCGCCAACCCGCGAGGGGAGCUAAUCCCAGAAAGUGUAUCGUAGUCCGGAUUGUAGUCUGCAACUCG
rnacentral:rRNA from 1 species